AUUCUGGCUCAGGAUGAACGCUGGCGGCGUGCUUAACACAUUCAAGUCGAACGGAGAAGGGGACUUCGGUCCCCGGAUCAGUGGCGGACGGGUGAGUAACGCGUGAAUAACCUGCCUGUGGUGUGGGGGAUAACAACCGGAAACGGUUGCUAAUACCGCAUAACGCAGAAGACCCGCAUGAGUUUUCUGCCAAAGAUUUAUUGCGCACAGAUGGAUUCGCGUCCGAUUAGAUAGUUGGUGAGGUAACGGCCCACCAAGUCGACGAUCGGUAGCCGGACUGAGAGGUUGAACGGCCACAUUGGAACUGAGAUACGGUCCAGACUCCUACGGGAGGCAGCAGUGGGGAAUAUUGGGCAAUGGACGAAAGUCUUGACCCAGCGACGCCGCGUGAGGGAAGAAGAUCUUCGGAUUGUAAACCUUAGUCAACAGGGAAGAAGAAAGUGACGGUACCUGUGGAGGAAGCCACGGCUAACUACGUGCCAGCAGCCGC
rnacentral:rRNA from 1 species